rnacentral:rRNA from 1 species
GAGUCGGACCUGCCCAGUGAAUAUAUUUUAACGGCCGCGGUACUCUGACCGUGCAAAGGUAGCAUAAUCAUUUGCCCUAUAAUUGAGGGCUAGUAUGAAUGGUUUGACGUGAACAAAGCUGUCUCUAUGUAAUUUUUUAGAAUUUGAUUUCUAGGUGAGGAAACCUAGAUUUAAUUGAAAGACAAGAAGACCCUAUUGAGCUUUAAAAAAAUAAAUUGAAAAUAAUAUAUAAUUUUAAAUAUUAAUCUAUUUUAGAUUUUGGUUGGGGCGACUAUGGAACAAAUAAAGCUUCUUUAUUAAUUAGUAAAACUCACAAGUGUUGAUCCAGAAAUUUUGAUCAAUGGAAUUAGUUACCAUAGGGAUAACAGCAUAAUUCUCUUUGAGAGUCCUUAUCGAAAAGAGAGUUUGUGACCUCGAUGUUGGACUAGAAUAUCCUAAAGAUGCAGCAGUCUUUAAGGGUUGGUC